CUGCCGGUGCCCACCACCAUCUCGCCGCGCCCCUUCGGCGCCGCCGCCACCCUGGUUGCCCCCACCUCGGUCGCCUUCAGCCUGCCGGCGGUCAGCUCCCUGCCCGCCGCCACGGCUGCUGCCGACUGCAACGCCGCAGUGCGCUACACGGAUGUGGCGGGUGUGGACGCCGUCAACCCCUUCACCAGCUGCGCCCUCACGCCCGACACCAAGGGCGUGGCGCUCAACACCGCCAGCCCCAUCUACAAGGCCGGCGACGUGAUGAACAUCAAGUGGACCAACACUGUCCUGCGCUGGGGCCCCCAGGCCAGCGGUGCCGCCUACUACCCCGCUGACGCCGACGUGCCGGUCUUCGCCACCGUGGCCACCGCCACCCUGGUUGACCCCUCGACUGUGGUGGUCAACCUGCCCGCGCCUUCGGCCGUUCCUGACAACUUCACCGUCCCCGACUGCCUGCGCGCCAUUGAGUUCAAGACGGCUGCGGGCGUGACCAAGAACGGCACCGUGGCGUCCUGCAUGCUGAUGCCCGACCGCCUGGGCCUGCAGGUGAAGCUGCUGUCGGCUGGCAAC
rnacentral:lncRNA from 1 species